rnacentral:lncRNA from 1 species
GCAGAAUCUCAUGCAAGGGGACUCUGGUAACCAUCAGCUCAUGAUGUGAAGAAGAACAUGAGAAAUGCAAAUGAUGGGGGGCGAAUAUGAGGAACUCGGGGCCCUUUGCCUUGGGCAUAACCAUUGGAGCCCUUGCACGAAUCCCACAGGGGCAAGAACUUCCCUUCUGCUGCUGGUCCCAGCCUGGAUCCCUGCAGGCUUGCAAAGUACGCACUCAAAAGAUAUUUGUUGGCUGAACAAGGAAAUGCAUGAAUGUGACAAGACCACUCAGGAUGCAGGUAAUGGAUGGAUGAGAGGGAUCAGAUGUGUGACAGAAAGCAGCUGGAGCUGGCUGCAUAAUCAGGAGCCUGACUGGACCCACAGACCAGAUGAGAGACCUUCCUCCAAGUUGUCAUCACUGCCAGAGCACAGCCCAGCACACUGCAUUAUACUUGUCUGUCACCAACAAACUCAUUUGUUGGUGAGUUCUUUAGGACAGCCAUCACCACGUUUUUCUCCAUUGCCAAUUAGUUACACAGUAGAUUCUCCACCAGCGUUUGAUAAAUGA